rnacentral:lncRNA from 1 species
UUUGAUUUGGAUAAUGAGAUUGAGAAAUUUUGAUAAAAAUUAAAAAUAUAAAAUUUGGGUUCUUAAGGUUUUGAAUCAGGAUUGAUUAUGGAAUAGGUGAAUGUAUGACACGAAAUUGGAAUUGGGGAUGAGAUUGAAGAUGGUUAUGCUUGAUUAGUGAUGAGAGGGAGAUGAGAAACAGAGAUCGUGGUUGGUUAUAGAAAUGGAAGGAAAUGUUGAUGAGAAGGGAAUUGAGGAUCUAGGGUUAUUAGAACAAGGAUCGGAUUCUCAUGUAGAGUCGGGUUAAUUGUAAGUGAGUGGAUAAAUAAUGAUGUUGAUUUUUAGGUUUCUUAGUCUUUUCCCCAUAAUUUCGAUUUAGUUUUAAUUUAUUUAAAAAUAAA